AUGUAUGUAGAUUUUUGUUGUCGUUGUUUCUUUGUGAUUAUUUUGAUUGUUUUACAUCCUGGGAGCAAGGGGGGCAGGACAGGUCCCUGCAGUGGGGCAGAGCUGCCCCGAGGAUGCCAAGGUGGCACGGAUGGCAGCUGGAUGGCUUCCUGCUCGGGUUUGGGGUAUUUUGGGCGAUUCCUGGCGUUUUCUGGGUUUAUGCAAACUGGGAUUCAUCCUCCCAUCGAGCUCUGCUGUACUGGGGUGGCUUUGUCCCCCCUGCUCUGGGUACCCUCCUUUGGGAUGUCACCCCUGCAGGGACCACUGGGGUCCCCUCCCGGUGCCACCACCGGUGCUGAGGGGACACCCCAACCUGAGCGGGGCUGGGCUGGGACACCCCGAGAGGGGAGGAAACAGAAAACAGCCCGGCCAUGGCUCGAGAUGCUCCUUGUGCUGCAGCGAGACGGCCCAGGGUACCAACAGGUACCCCCAGAGUACCCCCAGGUACCCCCAGGUACCCCCAGAGGUGCCCCCAGAGGUGCCCCCAGGGCAGGUGUGGGCAAUGGGGGGCAGGUGAAGGCACCUGGCCCCUCCUGGGCUGGAGACCCCAAAAACCCCUCCUGGCCACAGCCCAGCACCCCCUGGUCCAGUUGUGCACCCCCAGAGCAGGAGCCACCAUGGGACAGCCAAGGGUGGGGCCGGACCCCAAAUGUGGGUCCUGACCCCAAAGGUGACUCCUGACCCCAAAGGUUGGUCCUCACCCCAAAUGUGGGUCCUGACCCCAAAUGUGGGUCCUGAUCCCAAGGGUUGGGUCCAACCCCAAGGGUGACUCCUGACCCCAAAGGUGACUCCUGACCCAAAUGUGGGUCCUGACCCCAAAGGUGACUCCUGACCCCAAAGGUGACUCCUGACCCAAAUGCGGGUCCUGACCCCAAAGGUUGGUCCCGACCCCAAAUGUGGGUCCUGACCCCAAGGGUUGGUCCCAACCCCAAAGGUGACUCCUGACCCCAAAUGUGGGUCCUGAUCCCAAGGGUUGGGUCCUGACCCCAAAGGUGGGUCCUGACCCCAAAUGUGGGUCCUGACCCCAAAUGUGGGUCCCGACCCCAAAUGUGGGUCCCGACCCCCACUCCCAGCCCCAGCCUCCACCCCAGAGUGCUGUGGGUGAGCUCCCCCGGUUCCUACCAGCAGAGGUACCGUGCUGCUUCUCUGUUGCUGUUUUUUAACAUUUAUCUCUACCAAAAGAAGUGUCUACGCUGCAGGAUGGAGGAGGCUGAAGGAUAAUUAAUUAACAUUAAUUAAUGCUAAAUAUUGCAGGAUACAACUGACCUUGCUGGCUGGUUGAAGCCCUAGGUUUUGGAUUUACAGUGACAUGGAUAACAAGCCAUUCCCAGAUUUAUCCUCUCCCCUUUGGUGAGGUCCAGAGCAGCAUUUUGGAAUUUUUGUUCUGUUUCAGUGUGCAAAAAACCAUGGCUGUAUGGAAAAGAAAGUCAAAGUUGUUAAACAGACACACACAAUUCAUUCACCUGCUUGUUCUCUUGGGGGAUUUUGUGGUUUUAGAGUUACACUGAGGUUUUGUCGGGGUUAUUUUUUUGUUGUUGUUUUUCUUCUACUGGCAGGUUUAUGGAAGAUUCUCUAUGAACUGGGAGUACUGGUGCCGGGCAGGAGCAUCACUAAGGUUUCUCUCCCAAAUAUCCAAAGUACAGUGUGCGGUAGAUACUCAGUGGAGUGCCUCGAAUUUAUGGCUUAACACACCUCUGUGGACAGGUGACAGCGUGUCCCCUGGUUGUGGUUCCUCAUGCAUGGUCCCUGGUCAUGCCGUCAUGCAAAAAUCUGCAAAAAUCUGCAAAAAUCGCUUCUAGGCGUUAACGAGCACUUUGAUUUUAUUUCUGGGGGGGGAUCAGCCCGAGCUGGCUCCAGGCUGAAGGUACCCGAGUGCCCCAACUCCCAAACCAAGUAAAGCCCAUGGAGAAAGUAGAAUGCAAAUAAUAAAUCUCAAAUAAACUAUGGUAACUCA
ensembl:lncRNA